GAUUCCGUAGCUCAGUUGGUAGAGCACCUCCCUUUUAAGGAGGUGGUCCUGGGUUCGAGCCCCAGCGGGAUCACUA
rnacentral:tRNA from 1 species